rnacentral:misc_RNA from 1 species
UAUCUUUCACCUCUGCGCUUCGUUAUUCGAGAACGAUGACGAGAGCACGCGCUAACAAGAACGAGCAGGACUAUUCGAGCCGUUGAAGCGGCGCACGUGGGAGGAGCAAGUGCCGCCUGGCCGUGCCCGCGUGCGCAGCUGCGCCACGGAAUGCGAGCUGCGUGUUGGGGCAGCCAGUUUCCUCUCUCAUCCUCCCUUAAUUCACAUUUCCGCUUUGGAUGCCCCGUCUUCUUCCCAUCCCUGAAGACGGGCGGGGGAGGAUACCUCAGCGUGGUGUCAGGGUCUAGUAUCCACUCCGUGAGCAAGUCAAGCACCCCCCUAUCCCCUCCCAAUGCCGAGCCACUUCAGGUGAUGGCACCGUCAAGCACCUACAGCGUCGUGAGGUCAGUGUGGCGAAUCGCUAGUGAUAUCGGCGUUCAUGCCCUGGAUGGGGUGGCGUCGGAGUGGCCCGGACGAGCCGUACAAGGUGCACCUGACGAAAUCUGCGCUGUACGCGAGCAGGACGUCGGGCUUCGCUGGCGGCAUCUCAGACGACGACAUGCUGCACUUCUGCGCGUCUGCGGACUGCGUCCCCUCUCUCCGCACAGCGGUGGCGGUAGAGGAUGACAACGUGAGUGAGUGCUCCGGCUCGACGCUGCCGCCGCGCAGGCUGCCUCAAGUUGUGCCGAGCGCACCGGGCGAGGGGCAGGCGGUGAACUGCCCCUUCAGCGACGCCGCCACACGAGAGACUCGACAGGAGGGCACCUAGGCCCUUCGUUGGUGCUGGGAUGGUGUGCGAUCCACCGUGCCCAUGCGAGUGAGUGCCUCAUUUGUCAUGCCAGUGCUGUGCCGAAGGCGUUUUGUUGCUGUUACGCUGCGCACGGCUCAGCGACUAGGACCUGUCCUGGACCAAGAAGCAAAUAAAACAAGUGAUAGGAAGGAUGAAAAUUUGCUGGGUGUGGGGGUGAGGCAGGGAGGGUGUACGACACCCUUGUGUGUGGGGCUGCUGCCGUUUCUCUCUUUUCGCAUGUGACACAACCAGCGUCGUGCUUUACAACGGUGGCAUCUUCAAUGUGUGUGCUCGAUAAAGCGGCCACGACGCCACUCUGAAAGAGUAUGGGCCAACCAGGUCUGAAGAAGGCACCGCGGCAGUCUAGUAUUCAUAUUUUAUCGUCUCCCCUGCUACCUCUGAAGUCAGUGCGGCGGUGAUGCUGUGUAUGUGGUGUUACUCUUUUUCAACACCGUCUCGUCUCCGCCUCCACGCCGUUGUUCGAGCCCAUGGAUACAUUCACUACCCAUCGAAACAUCUCUGCAUGGUGGACCGAAAAGUUUUCUCCCCACCCCGAAGAAAAAAAUCCAGCGUGCCGUGCACCUUUCACCUCUGGCAUCCAUGCAAGGUCUUUCACCACCCCUGAGACAGGAAGAGCCGAAAAGGAACGGUGACGUGUUUUCUCCUCUCCAACUCCUCCCUCUCCCAUCCCAGGCUUCCUCGUUCACGCUCUCCGUCGGUCUCUCUCUUGAGUGAUCCUCAAAGGCAUCGCCACACGGGCUACCGCACUGCUACACCUCCUCCUGCGCCUAAUUGCCUCUUGCCCCCUUUCCGCCUGCUGCCUUUCUGUGUGUGCCGUAUGCCGUUGCUUGUUUCUCCGUCAACGUUGCUACCGCGGCCAGUACCGAACAAUACUGUUAUACCAGUCCGUCUCCUCCCUUUUUGUUUUUGCCUCUUUGCUCUCCAUCUGCCUCUUUCUCUCGCAG